GACGGACACGCUCACGGUUUGGAGCACGUGUGCAGCCCGGUGAUGCCCGGCGCCGAGGCCGACCCCUGCUCCAGAGAGAGCGUCCUGAAGGUGCUGAAGGAGAGUCGUAAGAGGGAGGUGGAGGAGGAGCGCAGCCUGUCAGGGCAGCGGAGCAAGAGGAGGCGUAACGACAGUGGAGGAAGUGCGCAGUCGGCCUUCGAGCCCCUCCUGCCCAACGGGACGUCCCCUCAGCUCAUCCCCAAGUGCGUCUCCCUCCUGCUGAGCGUAAGUGUGCACAGACUCGCUGACUGACCCUCUGUCUGACUGUAGGCCGGGACACUGAAGCGAGGGCUGACGGUGGCGGCGGAGGACCAGAGCCUGAAGCGCUCCCGCACCUCCUCCGUGAGCUCGUCCAGCGGAGGGAACGCCUUCAGGGGGACGCCCAGCUCCAGGAGGAACCCCAUCUCCAGCUCCUACAGCUCCACACAGGGCCUCACACAGCGGAAGAGGCCGUUACCCUCCGCGUCCCCUCGCUCCAGCCCGGGCCCGUCCCGCUCCCACAGCCCGGAGAACAGCUCCAAAAAGACCAGAGAGGAGGAGCGGAGGAGCCCGAGCCCUGCGCCCUGUGUGCCGCCGGACAGCGCCUCGGGGCAUCCGCCUGUGAUGGAAGAAUCCUCGGCUCCUAAAAACCUGUCAUCAGUUCGUCAGAGCGCACUCAGAGUGGGGAAAACGGCGGCGCAGGAUCCAGCUGGUGUCCAGAGACGACGCUCUGUCCCUGCCUCCGCCGCCGGAGCUCGGCUACAGCGUCACAGCCCAGGACCUGGACGAAGAGAAACGCUCUGCUCUCGACAAGAUCCACAAGCUCCUGGAGACGCCCGCUCCUGAGUCGACCUCCUCCAGCGGCGCCGUCAGCUCGUCUCCGGCCGCGCCCCUGAGCCUCGGACUGACCUUCACCACGGGGACAGUCGGCGUGAGCUCUUCGACUGUGACGCCCAGCUCUUCGGCCGGCGCUCCCAGCACCGCGGCCGGGACAGUAGAGGGCCUUCUGGGGCCUUGGUCGGAACGGGAGGCGGCGUUCAGGGCGGAGCUUCAGUGGCGCCGAGUGUCAGCGUCGCUCCUUCAGUUCAGCCUAACCUCCUCCUGGAGUCUCUGAAGAGGAAGAGUCUGUCUCUGGUCACCGCUGCAGGUUUGUGCUUUUAUUGUAAUUCAUUCAUUACAGGAUCGAGGAAACUUCAUCAUUUAUG
rnacentral:lncRNA from 1 species